CAUAGUGAUGUCAGAGACAUGAGAGCAUGGCUGUAUGUUGGCAUGAGUGAAUGCCAUCCAGUACUUCGCCAGAGGAGUCAAGUCCGCCCUAAUGAUGUUGACUGGCGCUCCAUUAGGGUUCCUCUGAAAGUGUCUCCCAGGGAUGCACAUACCCUCUCGAUGUCCUCAUAAUUCAUGUACUCCCCUGUAAGAGCAGCAUACCUGCACUGCUCUCUUGGCCACUCAAUACCCAGAAAGUUGUUGAUGGAGUCGGGGUCGUAUAUGAUAAUUUGCCCCCUCACGUAGCUCAUGUACC
rnacentral:lncRNA from 1 species